rnacentral:rRNA from 1 species
AGAAUCAACGCUGGCGGCGUGCCUAACACAUGCAAGUCGAACGCGAAAGUCCCGCAAGGGAUAAGUAGAGUGGCAAACGGGUGAGUAACACGUGGGUGACCUGCCUUCGAGUGGGGGAUAACGUCCCGAAAGGGACGCUAAUACCGCAUGACAUCCUGCUUUUUAAGAGGCGGAGAUCAAAGCCGGGGAUCGCAAGACCUGGCGCUUGAAGAGGGGCCCGCGCCUGAUUAGCUAGUUGGUGGGUAACGGCUCACCAAGGCAUCGAUCAGUA